GACUACUGGGGUAUCUAAGCCCGUUCGCUACCCACGCUUUCGCUCCUCAGUGUCAGGUAAUGUCCAGAGGACUGUCUUCACCAUUGGCGUUCCUUACGAUAUCUACGCAUUUCACUGCUACACCGUAAGUUCCAUCCUCCCCUACAUACCUCAAGAUUUUCAGUAUUGAAUACAUUUUCCCGGUUGAGCCGGGAUAUUUAAUAUUCAACUUAAAGAUCCACCUACGAGCUCUUUACGCCCAAUGAAUCCGGAUAACGUUUGCACCCUACGUAUUACCGCGGCUGCUGGCACGUAGUUAGCCGGUGCUUAUUCAUCUGGUACCUUCAAGAUUAUUCCCAGAUAAAAGAAGUUUACGAUCCAAGAACCUUCAUCCUUCACGCAGUGUUGCUGCAUCAGGCUUUCGCCCAUUGUGCAAAAUUCCCCACUGCAGCCCCCCGUAGG
rnacentral:rRNA from 1 species